rnacentral:rRNA from 1 species
UACGUAGGUGACAAGCGUUGUCCGGAUUUACUGGGCGUAAAGAGCGCGCAGGCGGUCGUUCAAGUCGAGUGUGAAAGCCCCCGGCUCAACUGGGGAGGGUCACUCGAUACUGAUCGACUCGAAGGCAGGAGAGGGAAGUGGAAUUCCCGGUGUAGUGGUGAAAUGCGUAGAUAUCGGGAGAACACCAGUGGCGAAGGCGACUUCCUGGCCUGUUCUUGACGCUGAGGCGCGAAAGCUAGGGGAGCAAACGGGG